rnacentral:rRNA from 1 species
UACGUAGGGUGCAAGCGUUGUCCGGAAUUAUUGGGCGUAAAGAGCUCGUAGGCGGCGUGUCACGUCGGAUGUGAAAGCCCAUGGCUUAACUGUGGGUCUGCACUCGAUACGGGCAGGCUGGAGUUCGGUAGGGGAGAUCGGAAUUCCUGGUGUAGCGGUGAAAUGCGCAGAUAUCAGGAGGAACACCGGUGGCGAAGGCGGAUCUCUGGGCCGAUACUGACGCUGAGGAGCGAAAGCGUGGGGAGCGAACAGG